rnacentral:rRNA from 1 species
UGGCGGCGUGCUUAACACAUGCAAGUCGAGCGAAGCGCUUUGGGUGAAGUUUUCGGAUGGAUCCCGGAGUGACUUAAGCGGCGGACGGGUGAGUAACGCGUGGGUAACCUGCCUCAUACAGGGGGAUAACAGUUAGAAAUGACUGCUAAUACCGCAUAAGCGCACAGUACCGCAUGGUACGGUGUGAAAAACUCCGGUGGUAUGGGAUGGACCCGCGUCUGAUUAGCUGGUUGGCGGGGUAACGGCCCACCAAGGCGACGAUCAGUAGCCGACCUGAGAGGGUGACCGGCCACAUUGGGACUGAGACACGGCCCAAACUCCUACGGGAGGCAGCAGUGGGGAAUAUUGCACAAUGGGGGAAACCCUGAUGCAGCGACGCCGCGUGAGUGAAGAAGUAUCUCGGUAUGUAAAGCUCUAUCAGCAGGGAAGAAAAUGACGGUACCUGACUAAGAAGCCCCGGCUAACUACGUGCCAGCAGCCGCGGUAAUACGUAGGGGGCAAGCGUUAUCCGGAUUUACUGGGUGUAAAGGGAGCGUAGACGGCCAGACAAGUCUGAAGUGAAAGCCCCGGGGCUCACCCCCGGAAUGGCUUUGGAAACUGUGAGGCUGGAGUACCGGAGAGGUAAGCGGAAUUCCUAGUGCAGCGGUGAAAUGCGUAGAUUUUAGGGAGGAACACCAGUGGGGAAGGCGGCUUACUGGACGGUAACUGACGUUGAGGCUCGAAAGCGUGGGGAGCAAACAGGAUUUAGAUACCCUGGUAGUCCACGCGGUAAACGAUGAAUGCUAGGUGUUGGUGGACAAAGUCCAUCGGUGCCGCCGCAAACGCAUUAAGCAUUCCACCUGGGGAGUACGUUCGCAAGAAUGAAACUCAAAGGAAUUGACGGGGACCCGCACAAGCGGUGGAGCAUGUGGUUUAAUUCGAAGCAACGCGAAGAACCUUACCAAGUCUUGACAUCCCACUGACCGGUGAGUAACGUCACCAUUCCUUCGGGACAGUGGAGACAGGUGGUGCAUGGUUGUCGUCAGCUCGUGUCGUGAGAUGUUGGGUUAAGUCCCGCAACGAGCGCAACCCUUAUCGUCAGUAGCCAGCGGUCCGGCCGGGCACUCUGAUGAGACUGCCAGGGAUAACCUGGAGGAAGGUGGGGAUGACGUCAAAUCAUCAUGCCCCUUAUGAUUUGGGCUACACACGUGCUACAAUGGCGUAAACAAAGGGAGGCGAAGCCGCGAGGCGGAGCGAAUCCCAAAAAUAACGUCUCAGUUCGGAUUGCAGGCUGCAACUCGCCUGCAUGAAGCUGGAAUCGCUAGUAAUCGCGGAUCAGAAUGCCGCGGUGAAUACGUUCCCGGGUCUUGUACACACCGCCCGUCACACCAUGGGAGUCGAUAACGCCCGAAGUCAGUGACCCAACCGAGAGGAGGGAGCUGCCGAAGGCGGGAUUGAUAACUGGGGUG